GAUGAACGCUGGCGGCGUGCCUAAUACAUGCAAGUCGAGCGAACAGAUGAGGAGCUUGCUCCUCUGACGUUAGCGGCGGACGGGUGAGUAAAACGUGGAUAACCUACCUAUAAGACUGGGAUAACUUCGGGAAACCGGAGCUAAUACCGGAUAAUAUAUUGAACCGCAUGGUUCAAUAGUGAAAGACGGUUUUGCUGUCACUUAUAGAUGGAUCCGCGCCGCAUUAGCUAGUUGGUAAGGUAACGGCUUACCAAGGCAACGAUGCGUAGCCGACCUGAGAGGGUGAUCGGCCCCACGGGAACUGGGACACGGUCCAGACUCCUACGGGAGGCAGCAGUAGGGAAUCUUCCGCAAUGGGCGAAAGCCUGACGGAGCAACGCCGCGUGAGUGAUGAAGGUCUUCGGAUCGUAAAACUCUGUUAUUAGGGAAGAACAAAUGUGUAAGUAACUAUGCACGUCUUGACGGUACCUAAUCAGAAAGCCACGGCUAACUACGUG
rnacentral:rRNA from 1 species